CUACGGGUGGCUCCAGUGAGGAAUAUUGCACAAUGGGGGGAACCCUGAUGCAGCAACGCCGCAUAGAGGAUGACGCAUUUCGGUGUGUAAACUCCUUUUAUAUGUCAAGAAAAUGACGGUAGCAUAUGAAUAAGCACCGGCUAACUCCGUGCCAGCAGCCGCGGUAAUACGGAGGGUGCAAGCGUUACUCGGAAUCACUGGGCGUAAAGGACGCGUAGGCGGGUUGGAAAGUCAGGUGUGAAAUCCUACAGCUUAACUGUAGAACUGCACUUGAAACUUCUAAUCUAGAGUAUGGGAGGGGGAGAUGGAAUUAGUGGUGUAGGGGUAAUAUCCGUAGAUAUCACUAGGAAUACCUAAAGCGAAGGCGAUCUCCUGGAACAUUACUGACGCUAAGGCGUGAAAGCGUGGGGAGCAAACAGGAUUAGAUACCCUAGUAGUC
rnacentral:rRNA from 1 species